CUCCAACGAAGAAGUCGAUGGGCUGGUUCAUGCCUGGAAACACAGAGCGGAGAAUGAGAAGUGAGUGAGAAACUGAAGAGAAGUAAAAAUCAGGCUCACCUGCAGGGGUGUAGAUCAGCCGGUAUCCCUGGAUGGGUGCAGUCACCGGGUCCCAGGCCACCCUGAAGCGCGUGUACCACUCGUCCGAGAUCCGAAGGUUUCUGGGACUCAACAUGCCGACUUUGACACAGAGGAGGCAUCGAAUUUUAGACAUGAGUCUGAAGAUCCAAACGGCACAGAGCCAGAGAUUUUCAGUAGCCGAAGAAGAAAAAGCAUAAAUCAGUCAGGAAAGAUUUGCAUCCAGAGCGUCCUGAGUUGCUUUGCUAUCUGCACAUCUGCUGCACAUGGUAUGUGUAAUUGGUGAGCGGAGCUGACCCAGUGCUCCCAGUCACAGGACAAGCUGCUACACCUGCUUUCCACAGAGUUCCUUCCACACAUGUCUGUGCAUGUAUGAUUUUGGAGAUUUCUGCUUCCUUUUUCUCUCUUAUUCAGUUUUUGAGGAGUUUUCCUGUUUUCUAAAUCAAAGAUCUAAGAAUAAAGGGUGUCAUGCUAUAUACAGAGAGAGACUAUAAACUGUGAAGUGAAGAUGCCUCAAACCACACAUCCUCCUUGCAAUGAAGUCAAAUUCUCGAUUAUUUUGCUUCCUAUUUUUUAUAGAUUUUUAUUUAUUUAUUUUUUUGCUAUCUUAACCAGUUUACUGAAGUGCACUGAUUAAGGCUAUAACCCCAUCAGAAAGUUUUCAAGUGACAAGAAGAGUCCUUUUACCAGGGUGGACUUCUUUUUGCAACCAAAGGAAUCACCCCCUGCUGGCCAAUAUAAAGAAUGCAAGCUGAAACAACUUCCUACUGCUAUGCCCUUAUAUCUUUUAUAUACAGUCCAUGUUCAGUGGUGAGUUUUGCUCCCUGUUUAAAUAAAAGUAAAAUAAUAGAAAACCAUUUGGAUUCAUCUGGAAUUUGAAUCAAGGACCCAAAUAUUAGUUUAAAUGAGAAACGGUCAUUAAAAUCAAUUAAUCAAAGUUAAAUUUGGGUAAAAUUUUAUUCCAAAUUUUAGUGCGAAUAAAUUUGGUUUGUGCAGUAAGAUAAAGAGAAGAGCCUGAAAAAUACAAAAACUGUUGGUGGUGCACAAUUUUACAUUUUAGGCUUUAAUAUUUUAGAAGACUACUUCUCUAAUAAACAGGAAAUAACUUCUUCAGCCUUGUGAGGCAGAAAAUUGCUUCUCGGUGGGAUUAUAGAAACUGUGUACCAACACGAACCUUCCAAAUUAUUUACAGAUGCUAAAUUGAUCACUUUGCAUCGGUAUAAAUAAUAGUCGUGAGCUCUUUGGUCAGUCCCAAUCUGGAGAGCUCCUUUCAUCGGCGUCCCUCUGCUGCAGUUAGCUGACUCACUCUGAGCAAGUGUUAGACUAACGAGCAGAAGGGAAGCACAGCUGGGCCGUCUCCGCUCUCCACCAUCGUUCCAACUUAUUAUUCAGAACUAUUAAUAACGCUAUUAUGCCCCAAAUUAUACAGUUUGUUUAACUGAGCCUGUAAUUAGUCUCCCUAAUCUGUGAUUUAUAUCCUGAAUGAGGCGAGGGAAUCCUGAGAUGUGACUUCACCGCAUAGUCCGAGGGGGACGUCACAGCGAGCUGUGAAUGGCGAGGGUUUGCGGCCAGUUUAUCCAAAACAAAACACAUCACCACCUGAGAUUAAUCCCUCUUUAUGGGUUAAAGAGAGAGUAAGAAAUACACUUGAGGUUAGUGGGUCUGAUGCAUUUCCUCCGAAAUGACUUCACCAAAAUGUCUCAGCCUCUGAGGUCGUUUUUAAAAAUUUUAUCAUCAGUGUGCGUAGUUUAGUUUCUGCAAGGGUAAGACCAGCUUUCCUUCAGACAAUACAGGCAGGUAAUCAGAGUGCGAAGGAAAGUAUAUUUACCCCCAAACAGGCCACUAAACCAUUUUGGAAAUGUGACCAUCACUAAUGCCUGAUUUUAAAUUUGUACUGACUGGCUCCUUCUCUGGGAUGACUGCUCUACUUUAGCACUGUUACCAGUAACAUGUUGAUGUUAUCUGAGAUGAUUUGAUAUUGUGGACGUCAAUGAGCUUAAAGUUU